GGCAGAGAAAUUUGCAAAGGAAGCCCUGGAGGAAUCCGACGAUUCAGAUGAAGAGGAUCUAUGAGACAAGAUUGUUACCAUAGAGACUUAAAACAACUUCAGUCGGAGGAAGACUGCAACAUGGGAUUUAAAUAGUGCUCUCUCACGCAUCAUCAAUAAAUAGUGCUCUUUCACAGUUAUUUUCCAUCUCUGAUCAAAUCAUUGUAUUCCGUUUUAUAAUAAAUGUUGUUUAAUGG
rnacentral:misc_RNA from 1 species